GGGUUAGUAUUUAAUAGGUAGAGGUUUUCAUUGUCAUUGAAAAAAAUAUCGGUUCGAUCCCGAUCUAACCCG
rnacentral:tRNA from 1 species